rnacentral:rRNA from 1 species
GACGAACGCUGGCGGCGUGCUUAACACAUGCAAGUCGAACGGAAAGGCCCUGCUUGCAGGGUGCUCGAGUGGCGAACGGGUGAGUAACACGUGGGUGAUCUGCCCCUUACUUUGGGAUAAGCCUGGGAAACUGGGUCUAAUACUGGAUAGGACCAUGCUGUAGGUGGUGUGGUGGAAAGAUUAGUUUCGGUAAGGGAUGAGCUCGCGGCCUAUCAGCUUGUUGGUGGGGUAAUGGCCUACCAAGGCGUCGACGGGUAGCCGGCCUGAGAGGGUGGACGGCCACAUUGGGACUGAGAGACGGCCCAGACUACUACGGGAGGCAGCAGUGGGGAAUAUUGGACAAUGGGCGGAAGCCUGAUGCAGCGACGCCGCGUGGGGGAUGACGGCCUUCGGGUUGUAAACUCCUUUCAGCCAUGACGAAGCCCUUGUGGUGACGGUAGUGGUAGAAGAAGCACCGGCUAACUACGUG